GUAGGGAAUCUUCCGCAAUGGACGAAAGUCUGACGGAGCAACGCCGCGUGAGUGAAGAAGGUUUUCGGAUCGUAAAACUCUGUUGUCAGAGAAGAACAAGUCGGAAAGUAACUGUUCCGGCCUUGACGGUAUCUGACCAGAAAGCCACGGCUAACUACGUGCCAGCAGCCGCGGUAAUACGUAGGUGGCAAGCGUUGUCCGGAUUUAUUGGGCGUAAAGCGAGCGCAGGCGGUUCCUUAAGUCUGAUGUGAAAGCCCACGGCUUAACCGUGGAAGGUCAUUGGAAACUGGGGAACUUGAGUGCAGAAGAGGAGAGUGGAAUUCCAUGUGUAGCGGUGAAAUGCGUAGAUAUAUGGAGGAACACCAGUGGCGAAGGCGACUCUCUGGUCUGUAACUGACGCUGAGGCUCGAAAGCGUGGGGAGCAAACAGG
rnacentral:rRNA from 1 species